CAAUGACAAGAAAGAUCACCGACAAGUUAAAGUCUGGCUUCUCAUCAUUUUUUAUGCUUUUCUCAAGAAAAUUAAUUCGGACAACUCUUCUCCUAUGGGUGUUAUUCUUUGCAAAUGUUUUCUCAUAUUAUGGCGCUGUCUUGUUGACCUCUAAGCUAAGCAGUGGAGACAAUAAAUGCGGCUCAAAGGUCUUGCAUGCGGACAAGUCGAAAGAUAAUAGCCUGUAUGUCGAUGUGUUUAUCGCUAGUUUGGCAGGUACUGUAUGACUUCCGUUGACCGUCAUGUGCUCUAUAUUUUGAAAUAUAUUCUGCUCUUUUAACACCUUUAUUUUCUUUCAUAUAGUGUCAUGGCUUAGUAACAUUUGUGUUGAUUUUAUAUUACAGAGCUUCCCGGGCUUAUCUUGUCAGCAAUAAUAGUGGACAAAAUUGGCCGCAAGCUUUCCAUGGUUCUUAUGUUUGUCUCAGCUUGCAUUUUCCUUCUGCCACUGGUCUUCCAUCAGUCUGCUGUAGUAACUACGGUGUUACUGUUCGGAGUUCGCAUGUGUGUCACAGGAACCAUAACAGUUGCCACAAUUUAUGCCCCUGAGGUAAUCUGAUGGAACUUCUCAUACCUAUCGAAAGAAAAUUGUACUAAUUAAUAGCGCUUGAGUUCUUGAUAUGUUAUAGGCUUCAUUUUUAUGAUCGUUUACUCUUUCAAGUUUCACAAAUAUGUUUUUCAUAUCAGAUAUAUCCUACGUCUGCGAGGACAACUGGGUUUGGUGUUGCAAGUUCUUUGGGAAAAGUAGGAGGCAUGGUAUGCCCUCUUGUUGCCGUUGGACUUGUAACCAGUUGUCACCUAAGACUUGCGGUUAUUCUGUUUGAGGUUGUAUUUGUUCUGGCUAUAGCCUCUUCUCUGCUCUUCCCAUUUGAAACCAUGGGACGGGAACUAAAAGACACCGUGGAUGCAAUUGAAUCAUAGUAAGCUUGUUGCUCUGUUUCUUAUACUCUCUUGCUAGUGGAAAAAGUAUGUCAGUGCACAAUACUUCAGCAAACUUUCUUACUUCUCAUUGAACGCUUAUGAAUUGGAUGCAAAUGUUAUGUAAAUAGAGUUUCAACUUUCAAGUGCAUUAAUUAAUUUUCAUGUCUAGAUCUCUCUCAUCAUCAUCAUCUCCUUUCACCACUUUUCAAAUUUUGGGCUUGCAGCCGAAUUUCAAUAAGGCUUUUAGGCUUCGUAUGUUGCUGUUGAAAUAAAAGAUACCAAGUGCUAUGUGAAAAAAGAAACUGUACGGUUGGUGUCAAGUAGAAAAAUGCAAAAAUUAUCAAUGAUCACGGCCCAUAAAAUCAAACUAAUUAACAUUAGCUCAUUAAAUUAUCAGCCACGUCAUCACUGCUCCAAAUUCGGAAAGAUAUCAACUGAAAUGAAAGAAUAUUAACAAUAAUUAAUAAUAAAAAUAUCUCGUCUUUAGUUGCCUACAGCAACUAAAAUGUUGAGUGGACAAAGUAUCCUCAAAUCCGACGCUUUAUAUUUAAUUAGUUAAUGUUCAAUCUUGCCAUCUGGAGAAUACACGUGAUCCCCCUGGCCCACAUUCCCAUAAUUCCGAACUAAAAUAUUCAGAGUUUUACGCUGCAGGGCUGGAACCCGCGCAGCGGAAUUUCCCGAACUCCAGACACCAAAAUCAUUAUUAACCCGUGAGAUAUCUUAUUAAUUAGGAAGGAACGGCAAAAGGUGUUAUCCGCGCGACAAGUCGGUUUAACUCGGCAUCUUAGGAUUUAUUAUCAUACUCCGAGUUUAAACCUUUAUUUCGGGUGAACCCAAUAUCAAGUUAAUAUGUAUCUCUUAGAACACAUUUGGUUAAUUUGUCAAUAAUAUUGUUGUCUGGACUUUUAGUCCAACUGAUCAGUUAAAAGAAAAAGGUUUCUUUGACCGAAACAUACAAGGAUACAAAUUUCUUUCCUUGAUUUGUAAUUUGUUAGUUAUUACAAAUUAUUUGUGCCAUUGGCGGUGUUAUUGUUGGAGGUGAGAAGUAGCCUCAUCGUUUUUAAUUGGGUUCAGUAGAUGGGAGAUGAAAGCCUUGUGUACACGUUGGAUGGAGCACUUUCUGCUCUGAGAUUUGGCGAACUACAUAGCUGUUGUGCUCUCUCGUAUGCUGGACUCGGUUGGUUUUCGGAAGCGAUGGAGAUGAUAAUUCUCUCUUUUGUAGGACCAGCAGUGAAGUCCAAAUGGGGACUCGCCUCAGGCGACUGUUGUUUUUUUUUAUUGGGAUGCUGUUUGUUUCUGUUAAUUUCGGGGAGGAAGUAGCCUAUUUCGUCCUUCCGUUUUGUUAAUUUACUUUUGCUUCUCCCACAUGUAGGCACGCAGAAGCAAUUAUGCUGUCCGAACUGUCCAUGCAGAAUAAAGAAUUUAUGGAUGAUUUUAAGCUUUGAAUAUUAGCACAUUCGAACUCUAAUCAUAGGCUUCACGAAUUAAUAAAGUGAAAAUCAUUUUUCAGUUUCUAGAUUAUUGCUAUAUGUACUGUACUACCAGUGGCUUUCUAAGGAAAUAGAAGCCCUUGGUGGUACAAGAUAUUAUUCAUUUCUUUUUUUUCUUUACGUCAAUCCGCCUUUUUCUUUCUGAUGCCUGAUGUUGUCUGGUCUGCUCUUUCUAAGUGCCUGAUGUUGUCUGGUCUGCUCUUUCCAGAAAAGAGUAUGCUCGGCUUAGCAGUGGUAACUUGUGUGGCUGGAUUGCUGAGUGCUUUCUCACCAAAUUAUGCAUCAAUGGUGAUAUGUCGUUGUUUGGGCAGAGGACACGUAUUUUUAUUCUAUUUUUCUAGAGUUGGUUCCUGUUUCUCGUAGAGGUGCGUGGAUGGUAGUGUGCUCAGCUUACUGGAGUGCUGGAACAAUCUUUAAGGCUUCACUUGCCUGGGUAUGCUUUCUGUCCUGACUUCAAACUCAAAAGUCACUUACAUCAUGAAGCUUAAGAGUCUGCUUUCUGAUAACAUAUUUCUUUCUUGAUAAAUUAAUACGCAAUUUUACGCAAUAUUAUGCUGGUGACUGAAGAAGGCCUUGAGGCUUCAUAAAAUGUCAACAUGCCUUCACUUGAACAAUGUCAUGAUUAAACUGAAUUGGAGGUGGUUACCUGCACUUUCUGCUGUACCAUCAUUCGCUCUGCUUCUCUUUUAUUGUCCAGCUCCUGAGUCAUCAAGUUAUUUAUUGGCUAUAUGGGUAGUAAAAUUUGAUCACUUAAUCGAUAACAGAAUUACACAUAUUAUGCCCUUUAAGAUGUCGAGUGAUUUUUAAAUAAUUUUAUCUAAUUGGUCACCUCAAUAUGAAUUUUGAGAGUGAUAAGAAAUAAAAAAUUAAUAUGGAUAAAGACCGUUUCUUUAUUUUUUUAAAUAGAAAAUAAAAAAUUACACAUUAAAUUAUUUUUUAUUUUUAAAUAAUUUUUUAAUUUAUAGUAUCAGGAGAAAGUAUUUAUUAAUAACCCAAUUUGUUUUAUUCUUUUACGAUUUUAUGACGGUUAUUUCAAUGAUUUUACAAACGAAAUCUUUGCAAAAUUUGAUGGCAUGGACCAUUGAAAUAACCGUCAUAAAAUCUUUUGCGAUUUUAUGACGGUUAUUUCAAUGAUUUUACUAACGAAAUCAUGGAAAAUGUGGAUUAAGUUCUUAUUCGUGAUUAUGCUAAAAAGUAGGAACAUGGCUAAGCAGGGUAAUUGAUGGAUCUUCCGGAACCUUCUCUCCGUCAACAUUACCCUUAUUAUUAUUAUUAUUAUUAUUAUUAUUAUUAUUGUCUUUGUUUUUGGAUUUGUGACAAUUCAGCCCAAACAGAAACGGAUAUGGCCGAGACAGGGGUUAACAUUCUUUUGAAUUGGAGACCUUACGAUGAUGCAUUUAUUGUAGAGUGAAUCUAUUUAUGCCCCUCAAAUAUCCUCCGAAGACCCCCAUUUUCAGUAAAAUCCAACAUGAUUCCAAAAAUACCCUUUUAAUCAACACCUAAUUUAUGAUUAUUUAAUUCAUUUAUGAUUUUUAAGCCAUUUUCUCACUCUUGAAAUUAGUCUUAUUUAUUUUUAUUGUAACAUUUUUUUAAAAAAAAGUUCUUUCUAUCAAUAAACUUAUGAAUGAGAAUAAUUGAUUUGGAAAUUAUGGUUGAAAAGUAGUUUCAAGUAUAAUGAAAGAAAAAUACAAAUAGAAGAAAUUGUUUUAAAUUUAGGGAAACAAAUCAUAUACAUGAGAGUCAUGUCUCUCAACUCAAGUCACAUAAAUAUAACCUACAAAAAUAAAAAUAAGAGAGAACUAAUAAAUUACUAUGGAUUAAAGAGGCAAAAGAGUGAGAAAAAAAAAAACACAUGUAUAUGCACAUGCAACAAAAAUAACAGGAAAAUUAUGCAAUCUUAAUUUUUUUUUGAUAUACUAAUAUAUUACAAUCAAAUCUCUACUGAUAUUUAUAAUUAGAAAUCAAUCGAGGACUCUCCUGAAUAAUCUUAUUAUAGGAGAGUCUGAAGGUUAACCCUCACUUAAAGUUGGAGUAAAAUAUAUCCUCACUAUUAAUAUUAGAGCCUAUUAUACGACAAUUUAAACGUUUACUUAAAAUUAGAGGAAUAUUUAUUCUCACUGUUAAUAUUAGAAAAACAUUAAUUUUACCCUAAUAGAGAGACACAAAUAAACCUCUAUUAUACAAAAAAAAAAAAAAAAAAAAUCGAAUCCACCGCCGUACUAAUACUGAGAUUUGAACUGCCAAAGGGGUCGUAAUUUUUUAAUAUAACGAUCCCACUAAAAAAGCAUAAGAUCCUAUUUGAUAACUAUUCCGUCGAAAAAUUUUGAGUGAAAUAUCAUUACUAAUUACCACAUUACCGAUGACCUAUGUCAUGUCAUGCGAACUGGUGACGAACUCCGGCAAAGUUGGUGUCAUUUUCUACACACUUGUCAACUAGCGCUCGCCGCAGUGGUGGCAUUCGGUAAUCUUUCUUGUUCUUGAUGUUAUCAAACACCAACAAAACGACAGCCCCCGUGGUUCCCACCUCCUUCUCUUUCAACACAAUCAUAAUUUUCUUUUUAAUCGUAUUGAUCGGACCACAAAUGACCCAAACCCUUCCACAUGUCUCUUUCUGGUUUGAUCGAUUCACGGUCUCGCCCACUUGCACCAACACCUAAAGAACAUUCAAUUAUUCGUUGACGACCUUCUGACAAUGAUUACGGGGAUUCCCAUUUCCAUAUCCACCUCUGUACGACAAGUCGGUCUAGCGUCCUACUAGUAUUUGUGAUAGUUACUCCACCGCUCUGUGCUCUGUAGUCAGUACGCACUCUUUCAGGUGAAACCAGUAAAGGUAAUUUCUUGUUUUUCGUAUUUUCAUUGUUCUUUUUGUGAUCAUGUAGAGAAUUUUGAUCAUUUGGCUUGCACGUGUUUGCUAAAGAAAGGUGGUGCAUUUGUGUUCCCACAAUUACUGCAUUUUGUUGUUAGUUGAUAAGCAAUUCUUGCGAAGCUACUUCAGAACUAUUUAAUUUAAGCUGGGCAUACAUGUUUUUGAAUAUCCAGAAACUUGCCUGAAUUCACUUUGGUAUGGGACAUAUUUGUGCAAAUGUUUUAUCAAACUUCCCAAAAGUGCUUUCCCUGGAGUUGUUGUUGCAGCAAGCAAAAAGAAAAGCUGCUUUCUUCUGGUGUACUGAAUGAAUUUUGACUUCAUAUUGACAAUUUAUUUUUCUCUGUCUCACUGUCUGUCUCCUGGAACCUAACAUACACCCUCAAGUGGAUUUUUUUGACUUUUUAUUUUUUAUUUUCAAACAAAGAAUUAUAGAAUUAAAAUAUGUGAAGUUGCUGAAAAACAUAAGGAUGUUAUAUGUAUUUAAAAAAAAAAAAAAAAUUGACUUCAAGUUUAUGUCACUUACAACACAUUUCAACAUUUGAUUAGUUUACUGUGUAAACUUUCAUCCAAUUGAGCAGAAAACAAGUUUCUUUGACUGAAACAUAUAAAUUCAAUGGUCCAACUAUGCAUAAGGAUAUGAAAUUCUCUCUUGUUAUUUGUUACGAUUAUUUGUGCCAUUGCUGUUGUCUCCCUGUUGGUAAGAGUAGUCAUUAUUUAUGCAAAUAUAGUCUGCAGUGGACUAAUAAUUUUGAUGGAUAUGUUUAUGGACAACAAUAUCUUUCAAUUUGGGUCUUUAGAUGGGAGAUGAACGUCCUGUGUACACGCUGGAUGAAGCACUUUCUGCUCUGAGGUUUGGGAAGUACCAAGCUCUAGUGCUGGCAUAUGCUGGACUUGGUUGGUUUUCAGAGGCAAUGGAGAUUAUGAUUCUCUCUUUUGUUGGACCAGCAGUCAAAUCAAAGUGGAAACUAACCUCAAGCGAAGAGAGCCUGCUAACCACUGUUGUUUUCGCUGGGAUGCUGCUUGGAGCUUAUUCUUGGGGAAUCAUUUCUGAUAAUUAUGGGAGGAGGUAGGUUAUUGCUUGUUAAUUCAGACAUCGAACGUAUAGUUGCUAUGUUGCUAGAAUAGCUUCUUACCUUGCAGAUGGCAUAUUAUUAUUCUUUUAGCCUAUAUCUUCAUCUGCUCACAGGAGGAUUUGUAUUUAAAAGAUUUCAUUUUGAUUCUUAUACUUCUGGAGAUUACUUGGGAGUUUCAUCAUGUGCUUUCUCCACAAUUUGGAUUUGCCUUCUGGAUGUUUCUCACUAUUUCAACUUAGAUAUGUACAUAUUAAAUUUCAAAUAUGUUUAAUAUCUUUGUCCCUUUUUAUUGUAACCUCAACUGUUUUUGCAACUCAUCUGAGCUCUUGAUGCCUGUUUUACCUUUAACAGGUUCAAUUUUUAACUCGCCCACUCAAACAUCAACAUGUAGGCACACAGAAGCAAUUAGGGCGUCACAAAUAUCCAUGCAGAAAGAAUAAAGUGUUUAUGCAGUGUUACAAAUUUUCUAAAUUAGCAGACUGAGGUUUGAAAUUCUAAAAAAGUUUAGCACCCUUUCUAAGCCACCCUUUCUAAGCCAUUGAUUUCCCUUUAAUUUAUCAAUUUCCAGUUUUUCCAACCUGUUCAGUGGUCUUCCUACAAUGUUACUACAAGUAUUACUAGAAUCUGUAAGGAAUAUUUCUGUCACCACAUUCUUUUCUUGCUGUUCCACUCAUUGCAUAAUACUUGUGAAUUGCCGUAGGCAGAAAUGUUAUUGUAUUUUCAAGUCAUACGCGCCAUGGAUUAUAAAGCGCAAAUCAUUUUUAUGUUUCUUGACUGUUAUAUGUGCAAAAUGUUAUUGUAUUUUCAAGUCAUAGGCACCAUGGAUUAUAAAGCGCAGAUCUUUUUUAUGUUUCUUGACUGUUAUAUGUGCUGCAAGAAGCUUUUUGCUUGGUACAGCUCAAAUAUGAGUCUGUUCAACUUCGCUUUCCACCAGGCUUUUAAGGUUCAGUUUAUUUCAGUACAUCAGUUCACCUUUUUUCCCUGAUAUCCUUAAGUAAAUCAUAAAGAUGCACUUAUCCAUCAAAUGUUAGGCCAGUCUACUUAAGAAUUUAUUCAUAAAUAUACAGUCUUUGGUUGAAACUCGAUGUUUUAUAAGUACUUUUUUCUAGUUUUAUUAAUUGCUGACUAGUGUCUGCUCUCCCCAGAAAGAGUUUUCUCAGCAUAGCUAUGGUAACUAGUGUGGCUGGACUAUUAAGUACUUUCUCCCCAAAUUAUGUAUCAUUGGUGAUAUUUCGUUGUUUCGUUGGUAUUGGUUUGGGGGGAGGACCUGUAUUCUUAUCCUAUUUUCUGGAGUUCGUUCCUGUUUCACAUAGAGGCACGUGGAUGGUAGCCUUCUCAGCUUUUUGGACAGCUGGAACGAUUUUUGAGGCUUCACUUGCCUGGGUAUGUAUAAUUUCCUAACUUCUACUGUCAUUAUCCAAAUAACUCUUAGAUUAUAUUUCUUUUACUUUCUAGAAACAGUCCUGUUUUUACCUUGUGGCAUGGUAAUGAUGUGGGAAAGGAAAUAAAGAAAAGAGAGAGUGGGAGAAAAGAAUUACAAAGCGAAGAAGAAGAAGAACAAAGAGAAUUAAGCGACGAAACAAGAUUUCAGUGAAUUAAUAAUCACUAAAAACUAAUCCUCUAUAUAUGGUAGUCCAAACCUAAUCUGAAGGGAAUCUACUCCUGUUGGCAGAGGAACACCAAGUUUCCAAAAUGAAACAAAUUCCUAAACUAAUUAGUAUCUAAAACUUCAAAACGUGUUCGAUAUCACUUGAAGCUUAAGAGUCUUCCAGAGAAGAUUGAGGUAUCUUUAGGUAAUAGUUUCCUCAUAAAAUUUUACAAGUAUUGUGCAUUGGUAAGCUCUCCCAGCUGGUUUUGCUCGUUCUUCAUUAUUCAAAAUCUUUUGGCAUCGUUCCAGAAAAGAUAUUGUACCUUUAAAAGUUUAUGAUAUUCGGAAAAAUGGACGUUUAUCUUCAACUGAUGUCUGAACCAAAUAACUAAUCAUGCUUUUCUAUUUUUAUUCUUCUUAAGCGACAACUGGUAUGCUGGUGACAGGAGGCUCUGAGGCUCCAUAAAAUUUAAAAAUUCUUUCAUUUGCAGGUUGUCAUGACAAGACUGAAUUGGAGGUGGCUACUUGCAUUUUCCUCUGUACCAUCAUUUGCUCUGCUUCUCUUUUAUGGUCUAGCACCUGAGUCACCCAGGUAUUUGUGUGCGAAAGCUAGAACAGUUGAUGCACAUAGAAUUCUCGAGAAGAUGGCUUUUGUCAACCAAACAAAACUCCCACCCGGCAUUCUUGUUUCUGAUAAAGCAAUUAAAGAGAACGAAGAAUCAAGUUUAUUGCGAGAUACACAUAUGAUCUCAAUGACAAGAAAGAUCACCGACAAGUUAAAGUCUGGCUUCUCAUCAUUUUUUAUGCUUUUCUCAAGAAAAUUAAUUCGGACAACUGUUCUCCUAUGGGUGUUAUUCUUUGCAAAUGCUUUCUCAUAUUAUGGCGCUGUCUUGUUGACCUCUAAGCUAAGCAGUGGAGACAGUAAAUGCGGCUCAAAAGUCUUGCAUGCGGACAAGUCGAAAGAUAAUAGCCUGUAUGUCGAUGUGUUUAUCACUAGUUUUGCAG
rnacentral:lncRNA from 1 species